rnacentral:rRNA from 1 species
CAGUCGCCGCGGGAAUACAGAGGGUGCGAGCGUUAAUCGGAUUUACUGGGCGUAAAGCGUGCGUAGGCGGCUUCUUAAGUCGGAUGUGAAAUCCCUGAGCUUAACUUAGGAAUUGCAUUCGAUACUGGGAAGCUAGAGUAUGGGAGAGGAUGGUAGAAUUCCAGGUGUAGCGGUGAAAUGCGUAGAGAUCUGGAGGAAUACCGAUUGCGAAGGCAGCCAUCUGGCCUAAUACUGACGCUGAGGUACGAAAGCAUGGGGAGCAAACAGGAUUAGAUACCCCUGUAGUCCCUGUCUCUUAUAC